GGGGGUGUAGCUCAGCCCGGUAGAGCGCUGCCUUCGCACGGCAGAGGCCAGGGGUUCAAAUCCCCUCACCUCCA
rnacentral:tRNA from 1 species